GUGAAGACAGAACUUAUUCUACCGCACCAGAAAUGUUUAUCAAAACCCAUGUUAAUUGCCAAAAUAGUGAGACUGCAAACUGAAAAUCCUGAUCAUCCCUAACAGAGCUAACAUAUGAUACCCAUGUUCGACAUAAAUACAAAAUACAAACACUGCAAUGGACAUGAAUAAAUGAAUACAACAAUCAGCUACAUCCGGACAAAGGAAUGCAGUAUCUUCCCAGAUGCAGAUUUUGUGAAUGAAAGAUGAGGAGCAUCUUUUUGAAACUGUUGCCUGAAGAGUUUCAGAGUAGAAGAUAAUUGAAAACAGAUGGGCAUGAGACGGUAGAGCCAGGCAAUAUGGACAAAGCGGACCUGUGCUACAGAAGCUCUAGCAACUGUUAUGACCCUUUAAGAUGCGAAAGAGGCUGUACUAAUGUAUGGACUACCAGCAAGUUACAUUUGUUCAUGACUGAAUCAAGAAA